rnacentral:rRNA from 1 species
AAUAUUGCGCAAUGGAGGGAACUCUGACGCAGCGACGCCGUGUGAGCGAUGAAGGUCUUCGGAUCGUAAAGCUCUGUCCUUGGGGAAGAAGGUCUUCGGACUUGACGGUACCUUAGGAGGAAGCCCCGGCUAACUACGUGCCAGCAGCCGCGGUAAUACGUAGGGGGCAAGCGUUAUCCGGAAUCACUGGGCGUAAAGGGUGCGUAGGCGGCUAAUCAAGCCAGGGGUGAAAGGCUACGGCUUAACCGUAGUAAGCCUUUGGAACUGAAUAGCUUGAGUGCAGGAGAGGAGAGUGGAAUUCCUAGUGUAGCGGUGAAAUGCGUAGAUAUUAGGAGGAACACCAGUGGCGAAGGCGACUCUCUGGACUGUAACUGACGCUGAGGCACGAAAGCGUGGGGAGCAAAC